rnacentral:lncRNA from 1 species
AGAAAAGAAACUGUUCCAUAUUCUGCAGUCAACCAACCAAAAACAAGUAAGAGUGUGUUUGGGCACCGCAGGUUUCUGUCGCCUAUGGAUAUCUCAAUUCACUGAGAUGGCGGCUCCAUUAAAAGGGCAGUAGCUUAUCUGUCCAAAAAAAUGGACCCUGUGGUGGCAGAGUGGCCUGCCUGCCUGCGGAUCAUGGCCACGGUUGCUAUGCUGAUUAUGACGCAGACAAAUUAACUUUGGGGCAUGACUUGGUGGUAUCUGCUCCACAUGCCCUACAGAACAUGGUUUGCUGGCCACCUGACUGGUAGCUUACCAGUGUUCAUAUGACCCACUAUCUGACUCUGUUGACACUGUCCAGGCCACCAGGAAGCCAGGGCAGUGGCCUUGAGAGUUGCCCCAGUGAUGGUGGUCCAAGGCCUAAGAUCACCAGGACCCAAGCUCUUGUACUCUGUUGAAGAUCUGGCAUUCAUCUCAAGAGACCCCAACAACCGCUUUGAACCAGAAAAAGAACUCUGGUAUGUACCAUCAGGAAAGAUGAUUCUACCACAAGAACAAGUGUUGACAAUGAUAAGACAAAUGCAUCAAUGGCCCUACCUAAGGAUAUCAAGUUAACUCAAACUGCCUUAAGACCUAAGUAUUAUGUUCCAGGACUGAAACAACCUGGUGGAACAAAUAGUUUACAGUUGUGUUCCCUGCCAAAAAGUAAAUGCUUGCAGAAGCAAAGCUGACCCCAGUAAGAGACCUCAGGGAGAUAAGCCAGGAGCCUAUUGGGAAGUGGAUUUCACCGAGAUAAAACCAGUCAAGAAUUUUAAUCUGAAAUAUUCACAGAAGUGUGCCAUGAAAUUGAAAAUAUUUCAUCACUGAGUGACAUAUUUCUCCAAUGGAAGGCUAUACAAGCCAGAGGAGUUGACAGGAACAGAAGCAAAUUACAAAUAAAAUUACUGAGAACAUAGUACCUAGAAGCCACAACUGUUGUCAUUUGGUUAUACUUCCUUUACUUCAUAUAAUGUAUACCAAAAGCAAGCACACAAAAAAGAAAAUACUCAAGUUUACAAACUAACAAGAACUUUUGUAUCAUAGAAACCAUAAUAAUAAAGGCAAAUUCAAA